rnacentral:rRNA from 1 species
UUGCACCUACGGGACGCAGCAGUGGGGAAUAUUGCACAAUGGGGGAAACCCUGAUGCAGCGACGCCGCGUGAGUGAAGAAGUAUUUCGGUACGUAAAGCUCUAUCAGCAGGGAAGAAAAUGACGGUACCUGACCAAGAAGCCCCGGCUAACUACGUGCCAGCAGCCGCGGUAAUACGUAGGGGGCAAGCGUUAUCCGGAUUUACUGGGUGUAAAGGGAGCGUAGACGGCAGCGCAAGUCUGGAGUGAAAUGCCGGGGCCCAACCCCGGAACUGCUUUGGAAACUGUGCAGCUGGAGUGCAGGAGG